rnacentral:lncRNA from 1 species
ACUUGACUGGCCCGUCUCGUGCAAUUAUGUCCAAGGACACUGUUACAAUUGAAGUUCAUCUAAAGUUAAAGGGCACAGUGGAAUCUAAAGAUACCACAUUGAUCAGUAAAGCCUUCGAUGAUUAUGACGGUGUUUCUACGUGUCUCCUCCGUGGCCUUUGUGACAUUGAUUUAUGCUAUGAUCAUCUUGAACAAUCACACCAAGCCACUAUCCUCGGUGUCCGUGUUGUUAAGGGCUCAUUGCCUUGUGACAAUGGCAUCAAAGUCAUUUGCUCCACGCUACCUGGGGACAAAACUGAAGGCAGUGGCUCUGGGCAUGUUUUGCUGCUUGAUUCACAAGCUGGAAAAAUGCCUAUGAGUAAAGAGCGUUAUCUAGAUCUGUCGAGACAGGUUGUAUCUGUAAAAUCAAGAGGGAGCCUGGAAAUUCUCAUGCAGGCUGGAGGAAUCAGUCAAAGUGUCGUCUUUCCAACCAAAUUCAGCAACGUAAGUCGAAAAAGUUGUAAGCUUGGUGAUUGUGAAGUGCAGAUAACUGUUGCUUGGUCCUUACUCAUUGAAAGCCAGCAUGAUAUCUCGGUGAAUGGAUCUGUACACCCUUACGCAUGGGAAUCAAUUCCACGUAUGCCCAUCAUGAAGCUUGCUGACGCUUGUUGAUAUCAUGUGAACUGUUGCCUGGUGAAGUUGUCUGCUACUUCUAGCUUAUUGUGUGUGCUAAUUGUUCCUACCACUAUGAUACAAGGCAUUCUUCUUUGAUAACUUUGGUCUUGUGUCUAUGCUAAUUGUUCCUGUACUAUUAUGAUGUAGUAUAAGACAAGGUCUAUAUUUCAUCUUCCUGUUAUGCAUAUUUAUGUUGUUGUGCUUGGUAAGCCAACUUUGUCAUUUCUAGCUUAUUGGUGGAGAUAUACGUAGAUCUUAUUUCUAGCUUAUUGGUGGAGCUGCUUAUUGUUUUUGGCGGUGAAAUUGCGGUACACUUUGUGCAUGCUCGUCGAGCCAGAUGGGAAGUCAUUCUUACCCCGUUGUGGGCAAUGACCACUUUUCCUAUUAGGCUAUGUUUGGUUGCUCGGGAGAGAAAUUCCAGGGUAAAAAUAAGCACGGGUGUGAUUUUCUCCACACUUCCAUGGGGGAUUAUCGUUCCCAGGUGAAUACAGCCCUGGCCACCAAUCCCCCAGCGUGGAUUUUCCUUGUGCAUCCCCGAUCCCUCUCACCAUGGGGAAGAUAACCCCACUGUCCCUGUUGCCCAAAUGGUAACGGCAGGGAAGGAGAACCCCCACACAUGCUAAUGCAAAUAUAACAAAGAAUUUACAUGAAAUAGACACAGGUCAUAGGUAAAUAUUCCAUAAAUAAUUCUGAAAGAAUUCUAUAAAAUACAAACACAAGAGAAUUCAGAAUCCAUCUAAAGUAGAAGUUUGAAAAAUAUUAGAACUGAAAUCCAUCAUUUCAAAAAGGUUUAAUAUUGAUCGGUUCACAUUUCACGGCGAUCAAUUGUGGACCAAAAUUGUUUUCGUGUGCCGACACGAAAGCAAUAAUUACAGCCGGCAUUGAUACAUCAUUGCUCAAGUUUGGUCACUACAAACAGUUCUAAAUUAUCAAGUUGUGAUGUCCAAGGAGUUGUGAUGUCCGAGGCAAAGACACUUUUAAAUAAGAUGAGCUGCAAGGUGAUAAAGCAAGGCGAUCUUCUCCCCACUCGGCUUCGACAUCAGGUAACACAGCUUGAUGUUGCCUGAACUAUGAAAAAAGUAAGAAAGUUAGAAUCAUGUAUCCAAUUGACAAGUGUAUGACUAGAGCUUGGAUUUCUAGUAAUGAGCAACAUGAAUUGUUGAUAAAAAGAAUAAAAACACAAAACAAACUACUAUUUGCGAUUACUGUGGCAUAAAUUUCAGUAAUAAUUACUGGGAAGAGAAUUGUAUAAUUGGAAAACUAAGGAUAAAACAAACAUAGAUUUAUGAAAAGUGAAGUCUUAUUAUCUAAAAAAAAGAGGGAAGGCAGCCUAAGAACCAGUUCACAAACCAAUACAUGGCACUUUGUUUAGAUGCCCAGGCGAAAACCAACUAGGACUGUAGCUGAUGACCACCAAAAAAAAGAACAAGCAGAAAAAAUUGUAUAGAAGAUGGCACCUUGUUUCUAACAAAACUAACCAUUCCAAUGGAAUCAUGCAGUGAUGAUAACCCACAAGUAUAGGGGAUCGCAACAGUUUUCGAGGGUAGAGUAUUCAACCCAAAUUUAUUGAUUCGACACAAGGGGAGCCAAAGAAUAUUCUCAAGUAUUAGCAGCUGAGUUGUCAAUUCAACCACACCUGAAAGACUUAAUAUCUGCAGCAAAAUAGUAUGAAAGUAACGGUAACGGCAGCAAAAGUAACAGUAGCAGUUUCAUAGCAAUUGUAACAGUGGCAACGGAAAAAUAACUAAGCAAAGAUUAAUAUGUGAAAAGCUCGUAGGCAAUGGAUCAGUGAUGGAUAAUUAUGUCGGAUGGCAUUCAUCAUGCAACAGUUAUAACCUAGGGUGACACAAAACUAGCUCCAAUUCAUCAAUAUAAUGUAGGCAUGUAUUCUGAAUAUAGUCAUACGCGUUUAUAAAAAAGAACUUGCAUGACAUCUUUUGUCCUACCCUCCCGUGGCAGCGGGGUCCUAAUGGAAACUAAGGAAUAUUAAGUCCUCCUUUUAAUAGAGAGCCGGACCAAAGCAUUAGCAUUUAAUGAAUACAUGAACUCCUCAAACUACGGUCAUCACCGGGAAGUGUCCCGACUAUUGUCACUCCGGGGUUGCCGGAUCAUAACACGUAGUAGGUGACUAUAACUUGCAAGAUAGGAUCAAGAACUCAUAUAUAUUCAUGAAAACAUAAUAGGUGUUGGAAAUAUGCCCUAGAGGCAAUAAUAAAUAAGUUAUUAUUAUAUUUCUUUGUUCAUGAUAAUAGUCUUUUAUUCAUGCUAUAACUGUAUUAUCCGGAAAUCGUAAUACACGUGUGAAUACAUAGACCACAAUAUGUCCCUAGUGAGCCUCUAGUUGACUAGCUCGUUGUGAUCAACAGAUAGUCAUGGUUUCCUGGCUAUGGACAUUGGAUGUCGUUGAUAACGGGAUCACAUCAUUAGGAGAAUGAUGUGAUGGACAAGACCCAAUCCUAAGACUAGCACAAAAGAUCGUGUAGUUCAUUUGCUAGAGCUUUGCCAAUGUCAAGUAUCUUUUCCUUAGAUCAUGAGAUUGUGCAACUCCCGGAUACCGUAGGAAUGCUUUGGGUGUACCAAACGUCACAACGUAACUGGGUGGCCAUAAAGGUGCAUUACAGGUAUCUCCGAAAGUGUCUGUUGGGUUGGCACGAAUCGAGACUGGGAUUUGUCACUCCGUGUAAACGGAGAGGUAUCUCUGGGCCCACUCGGUAGGACAUCAUCAUAUGCGCAAUGUGACCAAGGAGUUGAUCACGGGAUGAUGUGUUACGGAACGAGUAAAGUGACUUGCCGGUAACGAGAUUGAACAAGGUAUCGGUAUACCGACAAUCGAAUCUCGGGCAAGUAAAAUACCGCCUGACAAAGGGAAUUGAAUACGGGAUUGAUUAAGUCCUUGACAUCGUGGUUCAUCCGAUGAGAUCAUCGUGGAAUAUGUGGGAGCCAACAUGGGUAUCCAGAUCCCGCUGUUGGUUAUUGACCGGAGAACGUCUCGGUCAUGUCUGCAUGUCUCCCGAACCCGUAGGGUCUACACACUUAAGGUUCGAUGACGCUAGGGUUAUAAAGGAAGCUUGUAUGUGGUUACCGAAUGUUGUUCGGAGUCCCGGAUGAGAUCCCGGACGUCACGAGGAGUUCCGGAAUGGUCCGGAGGUAAAGAUUUAUAUAUAUGAAGUCCUGUUUCGGCCAUCGGGACAAGUUUCGGGGUCAUCGGUAUUGUACCGGGACCACCGGAAGGGUCCCGGGGGCCCACCGGGUGGGGCCACCUGCCCCGGGGGGGCACAUGGGCUGUAGGGGGUGCGCCUUGGCCUACAUGGGCCAAGGGCACCAGCCCCUAGAGGCCCAUGCGCCAAGAUAAAGGAAAAAGGGGAGAGUCCUAAAGGGGGAAGGCACCUCCGAGGUGCCUUGGGGAGGAUGGACUCCUCCCCCCUCCUUAGCCGCACCCCUUUCUUGGAGUAGGGGGCAAGGCUGCGCCUCCCCCUUCUCCCCUGCCCCUAUAUAUAGUGGAGGGGAGGGAGGGCAUCCACACCUGAGCCCUUGGCGCCUCCCUCCCUCCCGUGACACCUCCUCCUCUCCCGUAGGUGCUUGGCGAAGCCCUGCAGGAUUGCCACGCUCCUCCAUCACCACCACGCCGUUGUGCUGCUGCUGGAUGGAGUCUUCCUCAACCUCUCCCUCUCUCCUUGCUGGAUCAAGGCAUGGGAGACAUCGUCGAGCUGUACGUGUGUUGAACACGGAGGUGCCGUCCGUUCGGCACUAGGAUCAUCGGUGAUCUGAAUCACGACGAGUACGACUCCAUCAACCCCGUUCACUUGAACGCUUCCGCUUAGCGAUCUACAAGGGUAUGUAGAUGCACUCUCUUUCUACUCGUUGCUGGUCUCUCCAUAGAUAGAUCUUGGUGUUACGUAGGAAAAAUUUUGAAUUUCUGCUACGUUCCCCAACAGUGGCAUCAUGAGCUAGGUCUAUUGCGUAGAUUCUUUGCACGAGUAGAACACAAAGUAGUUGUGGGCGUUGAUGUUGUUCAAUAUGCUUACCGUUACUAGUCCAAUCUUGUUUCGACGGUAUUGUGGGAUGAAGCGGCCCGGACCGACCUUACACGUACUCUUACGUGAGACAGGUUCCACCGAUUGACAUGCACUUGGUGCAUAAGGUGGCUAGCGGGUGCCAGUCUCUCCCACUUUAGUCGGAACGGAUUCGAUGAAAAGGGUCCUUAUGAAGGGUAAAUAGCAAUUGGCAUAUCACGUUGUGGUCUUGCGUAGGUAAGAAACGUUCUUGCUAGAAACCCAUAGCAGCCACGUAAAACAUGCAACAACAAUUAGAGGACGUCUAACUUGUUUUUGCAGGGUAUGNNNNNNNNNNNNNNNNNNNNNNNNNNNNNNNNNNNNNNNNNNNNNNNNNNNNNNNNNNNNNNNNNNNNNNNNNNNNNNNNNNNNNNNNNNNNNNNNNNNNCGAUGUGAACUAGAUUAUUGACUCUAGUGCAAGUGGGAGACUGUUGGAAAUAUGCCCUAGAGGCAAUAAUAAAUAAGUUAUUAUUAUAUUUCUUUGUUCAUGAUAAUAGUCUUUUAUUCAUGCUAUAACUGUAUUAUCCGGAAAUCGUAAUACACGUGUGAAUACAUAGACCACAAUAUGUCCCUAGUGAGCCUCUAGUUGACUAGCUCGUUGUGAUCAACAGAUAGUCAUGGUUUCCUGGCUAUGGACAUUGGAUGUCGUUGAUAACGGGAUCACAUCAUUAGGAGAAUGAUGUGAUGGACAAGACCCAAUCCUAAGACUAGCACAAAAGAUCGUGUAGUUCAUUUGCUAGAGCUUUGCCAAUGUCAAGUAUCUUUUCCUUAGACCAUGAGAUUGUGCAACUCCCGGAUACCGUAGGAAUGCUUUGGGUGUACCAAACGUCACAACGUAACUGGGUGGCCAUAAAGGUGCAUUACAGGUAUCUCUGAAAGUGUCUGUUGGGUUGGCACGAAUCGAGACUGGGAUUUGUCACUCCGUGUAAACGGAGAGGUAUCUCUGGGCCCACUCGGUAGGACAUCAUCAUAUGCGCAAUGUGACCAAGGAGUUGAUCACGGGAUGAUGUGUUACGGAACGAGUAAAGUGACUUGCCGGUAACGAGAUUGAACAAGGUAUCGGUAUACCGACGAUCGAAUCUCGGGCAAGUAAAAUACCGCCUGACAAAGGGAAUUGAAUACGGGAUUGAUUAAGUCCUUGACAUCGUGGUUCAUCCGAUGAGAUCAUCGUGGAAUAUGUGGGAGCCAACAUGGGUAUCCAGAUCCCGCUGUUGGUUAUUGACCGGAGAACGUCUCGGUCAUGUCUGCAUGUCUCCCGAACCCGUAGGGUCUACACACUUAAGGUUCGAUGACGCUAGGGUUAUAAAGGAAGCUUAUAUGUGGUUACCGAAUGUUGUUCGGAGUCCCGGAUGAGAUCCCGGACGUCACGAGGAGUUCCGGAAUGGUCCGGAGGUAAAGAUUUAUAUAUAGGAGGUCCUGUUUCGGCCAUCGGGACAAGUUUCGGGGUCAUCGGUAUUGUACCGGGACCACCGGAAGGGUCCCGGGGGCCCACCGGGUGGGGCCACCUGCCUCGGGGGGCCACAUGGGCUGUAGGGGGUGCGCCUUGGCCUACAUGGGCCAAGGGCACCAGCCCCUAGAGGCCCAUGCGCCAAGAUAAAGGAAAAAGGGGAGAGUCCUAAAGGGGGAAGGCACCUCCGAGGUGCCUUGGGGAGGAUGGACUCCUCCCCCCUCCUUAGCCGCACCCCUUUCUUGGAGUAGGGGGCAAGGCUGCGCCUCCCCCUUCUCCCCUGCCCCUAUAUAUAGUGGAGGGGAGGGAGGGCAUCCACACCUGAGCCCUUGGCGCCUCCCUCCCUCCCGUGACACCUCCUCCUCUCCCGUAGGUGCUUGGCGAAGCCCUGCAGGAUUGCCACGCUCCUCCAUCACCACCACGCCGUUGUGCUGCUGCUGGAUGGAGUCUUCCUCAACCUCUCCCUCUCUCCUUGCUGGAUCAAGGCGUGGGAGACAUCGUCGAGCUGUACGUGUGUUGAACGCGGAGGUGCCGUCCGUUCGGCACUAGGAUCAUCGGUGAUCUGAAUCACGACGAGUACGACUCCAUCAACCCCGUUCACUUGAACGCUUCCGCUUAGCGAUCUACAAGGGUAUGUAGAUGCACUCUCUUUCUACUCGUUGCUGGUCUCUCCAUAGAUAGAUCUUGGUGUUACGUAGGAAAUUUUUUGAAUUUCUGCUACGUUCCCCAACAAUAGGUUCAAAUCUGAAAUCAUGGCACUCGGGCCCUAGUGACAAGCAUUAAACAUAGCAAAGUCAUAGCAACAUCAAUCUCAGAACAUAGUGGAUACUAGGGAUCAAACCAUAACAAAACUAACUCGAUUACAUGAUAAGUCUCAUCCAACCCAUCACCGUGGACACAUGGUUGUGGAACCAAGUUCUGUAGUAGUUUUUCAAAAAAAAAUCUUAUAUACUGAAAUAAGACCACUGCCAAUACUAGGCAGAGAAAUAUAGUUAAGAGUAGUAGUUUUAUUAGAAAGAGCAUUCUGCAUAGAUUGCAUUGUGUAUAAACAGAAUUAAGAACAGUCUGCAUGACAGUAACGGAACAAACACAUAGUUAAGAGUAGUAGUUUUGUUAUAAAGAGUAUUCUGAAUAGAUUUCAUUGUGUAUAAACAGAAUUAAGAACAGUCUGCAUAACAGUAACAGAACAAACACAUAGUUAAGAGUAGUAGUUUUGCAGAAAUUAAGCUUCCUCAAUGACGGUGUCUAAGGGAUGAUUGCGUCAUACACCUUUCUUCCUCUGAGUGAAAUAUUCUCAAUGACCGACGAAUCGAAAGGCACCAAGCAAUUGAACACAACGUCUUCGGGUAAAGCAAAACACUUCUAAUGUUAGAUCACCUGCAUUCGACACACGAAUGAAUACUUAUCAGUUUAUGGCACAAAAGAUGCAUAUAGUAUUUUUGCUAAACAAUUUUAGAACACACAAUACAUUCAAGAAGCGCAUGAAUAUGCACUAGCUACCACAUAUUACAGAACAUAUUGCUAAGCAACAACAAUACCAGUAGGUAGGAGCCUAGGAAUAGAGUAAAUACAAACAUAGUGGUAUUCUACAAAAUUAAGAGCAACAUUUUCUCAUAGACUAAAAUCAAGCAAAACACUUGCUAAUGUCAGAGGGCUGCAACUGAUAAUCAAUUUUAACAAAGAAGAGCACUAUAUGAGCAACUAUCAAUGAACAAUGAGACAUAAUGAUCAGCAGUAGGCAAGUUGCUAUAUGCAUCAAGCAAUUUAUUUCAGGUUGGUACUUGCUUGGCGGCAUUGAAUCAGAUUUGAUGAAUACGAUGUCUACAGCAGUUUCGUGUCAAGGGAAUGGCUCACAUACCUUUCUUGCUCCGGGUGAAAUCUUCUCCAUGAUGGACGAACCAAAAGGCACCCAACAACUGAACACGGCGUUUUUGGAUAAGGCAAACUUCUAAUGUCAGAGCACCUGCAUUUGACACACAAUAAAAUACUUCUCAGGAACAGAAUAAACGCAGUACCAUGACUUACAUUACAUUUUAAUUCUCUCUACACUAGGGAAGAACUACUAUUAACCAAUGCAUAUGAAACUUGUGUGUGUAAAUCAACAUCAAUGAAUUUCACACCAAGUACAACCUAUCAAAUGCUGGUAGUACAGAGUGCACAAGAAACUACAUAAGCUACAUAUGUGCCAGGUAAUCAUAGAUAGUUCUAUAUUUUUAAUCUUGCCAUGGAAAAAUAUAAUAUCCAGCAGAUGACAUGUUAACAGUAAGCUAGCUAGCUAUGCAGGGAGAGAAAAACAAACCAAUAGGAAGCUCACUAAACUAGACCUACACAAAGCUGGCAUUCAACGCUAAAUUUUUCAUGUCCUGAACGACAUAGUAAUUACCACUUCCACUUUGGCAAUCCGCCAGAACGCAAGUUAGCAGCGAUCACCCAUCACUAAUUCUUCCAAGUUAUGUCAAUCUAUGUACUAGUAUGUCUAAAUAUAAUUAUCUAAUCUUGCUGCUCCCAAUUGUCAUUACGAUGGCAGAAAGAAAAACACCAAUCAUCUAGUGGCAAGGAACAAGAAUUUUUCUUCCAUAAUAAUUUGUUGGGGCCAUGAGAACAAACCAAUCACGCUAGGGGCUCGGGGGCGCUGCAAACAAAAGAAGUAGACCAAAGAGGAGGUUUUUGGGUCUCGUGUCCUCGUGUGGCAGUGAAGGCAUCACCAUGGAGAAGAAAACCACUCGAGUAGAAGAGGAGGAGGAGGGCAUACCUUGGUGAAAGAGGAGGAUGACCUCCCGGCCGCGUCUUCGUCGGAGGUGAGGAACUUAAAGGCAGGGGAGAGAGAUCCGGAAGGUGAUGACCUCCGUCGCCAUCACCCCCGCUAGAGGGACUGAGCGUGGAGGUGGAGGGAGGUGGAGCGCUCGAUCUCGCCGCCGCGGAAAGGGAGAGCAACUAGUUAACGAGCGCUCCUUCGAGAGCCUCGCAACGAUCAGCGCCACUUGACGCGCUCUCAGCCAUUCGCCACGUGUCGCAUUCCGGGCGCUUCUCCCGGAUCUUGUUUUUUUAUUUUUCCGCACAUGUUUUCAGUUUUUUAAACGGUUUUUCUGUGCUUUCUCGACGUUUUGGUUUUCCACCGCUCUUCCUUAGCUUUUCAACCAAAAAAAUAUUUGAAAAAUUUUUUGCGUGAAAAAACGCGUUUUCUUUUUUCCCCUUUCACUAGAGUCAUGGUUUUGCUUUCGCGAGAGGCAUGGUUUUGCUUUCCGGGAGUUACGGCCGUGCCUCUCGAAAACGAAAAAAACACUUUUUUUCUUUUUUUUUUCUUUCACGAGAGUCACGGUUUUGCUUCCGCGAGAGGCACGGGUGUGCUUUCGCGAGAGUCACGGCCGUGCCUCUCGGAAACGAAAAAAAAACAUGUUUUCUGUUUUUUUUCUUUCAUGAGAGUCAUGGUUUUGCUUCCGCGGGAGGCACGGUUGUGCUUUCGCGAGAGUCACGGCCGCGCCUCUCGGAAAGGAAAAAAUAUGUUUUUUGUUUUUUUCUUUCGCAAGAGUCACGGUUUUGCUUCCGUAAAGUGGCACGGUUGUGCUUUCACGAGGGUCACGGCCGUGCCUCCUCGGAAACGAAAAAAACGCGUUCUCUUUUUUUCCUUCCGCGACAGUCACGGUUUUGAUUCCGCGAGAGGCACGGGCGUGCCUUUUUGGAAAGAGAAAAAACUUGUGCUCCCGGUUCGGUUUUUUCAUCCGAUUUUUUUGUCCGAUUUCUUCGUGAAAAAAAGUUCGUCAAAACCUAUCAACAUGGGAUCUAGUUUUGAAGAUCUCGACGUGAGGAAUCCAACGACGAAAGCGGUUUAAAAUUUGGACGCACAGUUUGAGAGAUAAAACGUUUUGAAUAAACGAAUCUACGAACAAAGGAAAAACUCACAGGUUGCGAUAACUGACGCUGCAUGUGCGCCACUUGUCGCAACCAGAGGGAUUAGAGUGAUCUUUGCAACGAAUACUCCUCAAUUAGUGAUUUCACGAAAAGGGCUGAGCUGCCCCUGUCUCGUGGGUAAACCCAGGCAAACGUCAGGCCGGGCCGGGUUUCGGGCCGAGCUUGUAAAAGCCCGACCUUCAUUUCCCAAGCUUGCACCCGGCCCGAAGCCCGAAAUACACCCUAUUUUCAAGCCUGAGCCCGGCCCGAACUAUCUUCCGGGCUGCAAAACAAGGCCCAAGCCCGGCCCGAACGUCAAGCCCGACCCGGCCCGACCCAGGUUUUUCGGCCAAGCUCGGGCCGGGUCGGCCGGGCUGCCCAUGCCCGGGUUUACUCGUGGGCUUCCAAAUGCGCAGGUGUCUUGGGCCUGAAACCAAAUGAGGCCUGAGGUGGUAGAUGGCCUGCUUGCGGUUCCAGAAUUCCAGUGCCCUUGUAACCGAAAGGAAAGAUAUUGCAGAGGAUAAUGACGGAAGGAAAGACAAACAUAAUACAGUAGUAUUUUGUUUCUCCAUAUACGGCUCCAAACUGGGAGCCCGGUUCCAUUAUAGUACUCGUUAACAGAACAAGGUCCAAAACAAAAAGCAGUAAGCCAGUAACCGAGUUCCAAACCAUAUCAAAACGGAAAGGCAACUACACAAUUAGCAAGUAACCGAGUUCCAAAUAAUAAUACCAAAACGACAAGACAACAACUACACAGGCAGCAACUGCCAUUCAUAUACAACUUCAGCGCCCAUCAAUCAAGACUAGGGCCAAAACACAUUGCCACAAGACAACAUCAACUGGACAUUUUGACCUCCAGAAAACAACUUCUGUCAUCUUCACAUCACUGGUCAUCACACUUCUCAGACCCAGCCUCUUCCUCAUCCUCUCCAGCUUCAGUGACAGGCAACAACAUUCAUGGCAAUUGCUAGGUAACAUAUAAAGCAUUUUACAGCAACUACACGAUGGGCAAAUCAUUCAAUAGGACAUCUAGAACCUUCUGCCCAUCCUCAUCCCUGAUUCUCUCCCAGCGAGCAUACUCAGCAUUGUUUUCAGCUUUCCUGCGCUCUGCUAUACUCCUCUUGGCUGCUGUCAUCUUUGUCAGGUCUUGCUCUUCAAGUUUUGGUUUGUGCUCAUGGAUAAUGUUAGUGACUUGAUGCUUAGUCCGCAUGAUGAUCCUAAUAAUGUCCUCCUUUUCACAUUUUAGCAGACGAAGAUAACCUCCCAACAAGGUUCUCAAGUUGAAGUUUCCAUCUGAUCCGCAAAAAUUCAGCACUAGAUCACCCCCCCUCAUAUCAAUUUGACUGUGCAUCUCCUUUCUAGCUUCGUCAAAACUAACACGACUCUCCCUAAACUCCAUGUCGAACUCGAUAAUAGCAAUAAAAAACAUGAACGCCAGUUUUGAUAAUUUCGACCAUUCACGGAUCAAUUCACUCAGCCUUGGGGUCACCAUUUUCAGAUGAGAACGAGGCAACUCACAGUUCUCAACCACAAAGUCCUCACUUUCAGGGAAGCGCGGGCACUCCCCAAGGAUGAACAUCAACAGGUUCAGCAAAGGAACAAGGUAACUUUUAUAGCUUCGGCAAUUGAGAACAUUGAGCUUUCUGACUUCGUAGGUCAUUCUCUUAAGAAAGCCCUUGAAUAUUUCAACCUUUGUCCUGUGUGAAACAAAACACAACAUCAGAACUCAAUGAACUUUUGCUAGUUAGAGAUAAGAAUAUGAUUACGAUUAGUAAGAAUUCAUGAAAACAGAGCAGCAGCUAUGAUACUUUUUCACACAAACAGGUAAUUUAUUGAUCCAAGCUUGCCAGGGUUCAAAUAGCAACCACCAGCCCAAUAAACUGCAUAGUAGUAUGUACCUUGGGGCCUAGGUCCUACACUCAUAAAAUGGACCUGGUGUUGCGCAUAAAAUGGUCCCGUAGGUUUUCCCUUCCCGCAACCCAUGUGCCAAAGCACAUGCUCAUUUGUGAUUCAUCCAUCAUCAUGUGGUUACAGAACUUAUGAGCGACCCUAAAGCACAGAAACUGUAACCUGCAUUCCAUGCCGGCCUCAACUGCCAUGUAUGUUCGGUGAAGGGCUAAGAGAUUCUUAUUGAUAAAUUCAUUAUUUGAGCAGGAGCAAUCAGUAUCUUCAGUGAGCUGAUAUAGAUACUCAACUAAAUAUUCAGCAUGGAAUUAGACAUGAGGACUCAUCAAGUACAAGAAACAAAAUGAAUCCAAUCAGUUAACAACGCACGAUGGUUUCUUAUUAAGUCCGCUACAGAUAUUGGUGACAGCUUUAAAAUAAAUUUAAAGCUUGUAUUGCCAAGUUUAAAAUAAGAUGAGGGGCCAGACUGAACACUGUACUGGAUCAAGACUAACACAAUUUUCUAUCCACAAUUAACUACCCCUGACUGAGCAUUUUAUAGCGUACUGGACAUCCAACAAUGUAAUUACUUUGUGGAGCAAAUGACGUUAAUACAGAAAUGUUCACCACAACAAAUGGCAAUGCGAUUGAGUGCAUUGAGCAUCACAGAGUUGAACAAUGUCAUGAGCACUACCAUGGCGUGUAUUCUAUUAAGUAACAUUUUUCUUCAAACACACAAAAGAGAACAUCCUAUUGAGUGUUCCCCCAUGCUUUUUUAUUUCAGCUAGUACUUGUUGCAGUAAAUAAAAUAAUAAAGCUUGCAAUAAAUAAGUACUGUUGACUUACACAUCUGUGUAUGAUUCUUUAUAUUGCUGCAACUCGGUGAUGGGUCCAAAAAUAUCUGGGAACUGCAUCUUCUUUGUCAUUCCAGCAAAUGUCAGGAAACCACCUUUCUCAUACCUCUUCUUAGGAUCCUGUGAGUAGUCGGGGGUUUCUCUAAAGAGGGUGAAAUACCCACUCCAAUCACAGCAAAGCAAUUGCAACACUGAUACUGCUGGAGAAUUUGGGUCUGGUGUUUCCAUCAUUUCGGUCAUACUGAAUGUAACCUGCACAAUCAUACACAGAACCCAUGUUCAUGGACAGAAAAGGCAGCAUUCAAAUGUAGACCACUUAUAGAAACACAAGGCAUGUUCACCUUUCUAAUGUGUGUUCUCCUUUUCUCAAUGUACGCCUUAAAUUCUUGCGCAGAACAAUCAACUUUAAGCUCAAACUUUCGAAGACUUUGACUCUGUUCAAAAUAGAGGUUUAGCAAGCCGGGGCUUGAAACUAGAAACAGGUAGCCCACGGCAAUUUACGAGGAAAUAAGUAGAAAAUAACUCACAACAAUAGUUUUCUGCUCCUCUGCGACAAGGGUACCUCUCAUACCCGCCUCUGUGAAAGCGCGCUUGCACCUAUUCUCCGCCCCCUUGAGCUUGCUGAAUUCAGUCUUCAGGCGCUUCUGCACCGCAUCCUCGAUGUCCUGGUCCUCCUGCUCCUCCGGGGUAAGUGGAGCUCCUCCACCUCCCCUGUGUCUGUCCCGCUUCGACAUCGCAUCUACUUUGAGUCAGAUCUGACUGGAGGCAUGAGCAGGGGCGUCAAUUUUAAGUAAUUUAAUAAGAACAAAUAUCAAAAUAAAAAAUGUAAUUAUGAUGAAGUAAGCAGAGAAAAUUAUUGUGGUACAUCAAGUAAAACUAUUAAAGUAGAUCUAUUAAUGUUAUUACUCAGUGUGAUUUGUAUUGAAUUGGAAGGAGCAGAAGUUGUAGAUCUAUUAAAGUAUGUUAGCCAUGCUAAGCUCACGUCAUAGGCUAAUGUAGUUUUCUGCUUAAAAUAAACAUUGCAUGCCUGCAGAUGUGACACUUCCAUGCAGCAUGCACGUAGUAGAUGGGGACGUGCAGUACGCACGAUCUCGCUCCGUUCUUUCUGUUAUAGUUAACCCGGUCAGCGUAGCGCGCUUGUGCAUCUGGAGGUUGCGGGAUGGCGCGGCCAAUCCGGAUCACAACGAGCUGGCCGGGGUAGUUAGUCGUUUCCAAUUUUGUAACAGAGAUAAGAAGAAAAGGUAAGAGCAGAAAACGCUGCGCAGUUGGUGGCAGCACAAAACUGACUCUCUCUCUCUCGUUCGUCUACCUCCGUCUCUCUCUCUCUCGCUCGACCUCAUCUCUGAUCACUCUCGCUAAGUCCGGCAACAACAAUUGGCAUCAGAGCCGUGGUGUUCGAUCCACUCUCCGGUGGCCGGCGGUGUCCGAUCCGCGGCGUACCAUGUCGGAUAGCGAGGAGGAGAAGAUGAGCAAGACCGGGACCAAGUCGCCGCCGAAGACGCCGACGUCCAAGGCGCCGAUCGCGCGUCUCACCGGCAGCGGCAGCGGCAGCGGCGAACUCCGCGUGGUGGAGCGCGUCGUGCGCGAGGAGUCGGGGACGUCCAUGAUGCUCACCCGUACCAAUUACCAGGAGUGGGCGCUUGUGAUGCAGGUUAAGCUGCAAGUCGCCCGCGUCUGGACCGCGGUGAUCGAGGACGGCGCCGAGGAGAACGACGACCGGCGCGCGCUACAGAUCAUCCUCACCGGCGUUCCGCCGGAGAUGCUGCGUGUGCUGGCUGCGAAGGACACGGCGAAGAAGGCGUGGGAGACCAUCAAGACGAUGCGGAUGGGCAGCGAGCGCGCUCGUGAAGCCAAGGCGCAGGUGCGCCGGCGGGAGUUCGAGGAUCUCCGUUUCAAAGACGGGGAGUCCGUCGAGGAUUUCGGGCUGCGACUUUCUGGCCUCGUCGCCGACCUGGAGCUGUAUGGCGACCCUGUCACCGAGCACAAGGCAGUCCAGAAGUUUCUCCGAGUGGUGCCGCGGAGGUACCGCCCGAUGGCCAUGGCGAUCGAAUCCUUGAUCGAUCUGAAAACCAUGUCCAUCGAGGAGCUCGUCGGGCGUUUCUUUGCAUGUGAGGACCACUACGACCUCGACGACGGCACGCAAUCCACCGGGCGCCUUCUGCUCACUCAUGAGGAGUGGCUGGCCCGGGAGAAGCUGGGCAGCGGCGCCGGCGGUUCAUCGUCCGGCGGAGGAGGCGGCGGCAAGAACAAGUCGCCGGGCAAGCCAAAACCUCACGGUGGCGGCGGUGGCAGACCUGCACCGGGCAGCGGCGGUGCGGGAGGAUCCGGCGGCUCAGGCGGCAAGAAAAAGGGCAAAUGCCAUUAUUGCAACAAGCCGGGUCAUUGGAAGAAAGAGUGCUACACCAGGAUUAAGGCGGAAGAAGAACGUGCAAAGCAGGGGCAAGCACAUCUAGUCCGCGAAGGCGACGAGCACCAUGAGGGACUUAUGAUGGCCGCGGUCACCACUUGUUUCACCACCAGCAUCGUGGCGCCCCAGCAAGUUCAUCUCAAUGAAGAGAAAGUGCAUCCAGAGAUCUCACCGCCGGGGCUGUGGUACUUUGAUACGGGAGCUACAAGCCACAUGACUGGUGACAGGGGCAUGUUCAGUACUCUUGAUGAAUCUGUGCAAGGGACUGUAAAGUUCGGAGAUGGAUCACGCGUUGCAAUCCGAGGAAGAGGUUCAGUGAUCUUCAGAGGACAGAGCGGCAACCAACGCGCACUGUCAGAGGUUUACUUUAUCCCAAGUCUUAGCAGCAAUAUAAUUUCAGUUGGCCAGCUGGAUGAAGAGGGGUGCAGAAUUCAGAUUCAUGAGGGACUGAUGACAAUUCAUGACACCGUCGGGCGCAUGAUGGCUCACAUCCGGCGUUCGAUCAGUCGUUUGUACACUGCCGUGCUCACCAUUGACACACCGGCGUGCCUGCUGACGAAGAACGACGACGAGACCUGGCGUUGGCAUGCUAGGAUGGGUCAUCUACACUUCAGGGCACUGCGUGGCAUGUCCUCCAAAAGCAUGGUACGUGGGAUGCCGCUGAUCGACCGCGUCGACGAGUACUGCGACGGAUGCACCCUCGGCAAGCAGCACCGUGCACCAUUCCCGCAGGCAGCAGCGUACAGGGCCGAACAAGGCUUGGAGCUUGUCCACACUGACUUGUGUGGUCCGAUCAGUCCACCCACUCUUGGAGGCAACAAGUAUUUUUUGCUUGUAGUUGAUGACUUCAGUCGAUACAUGUGGUUGGCCGUACUGAAGACAAAGGACGAGGCAUUCAGCUGCUUCAAGAGGAUUCAGGCUGCUGCUGAAACUGAAGGAAGAUGCAGGUUGCAUGCGUUCCGGUCUGACCGGGGCGGCGAGUUUAAUUCUGGUGAGUUCGUGGAGUACUGCGACAAGCUCGGGGUCAAGCACUACACGACUGCACCAUAUUCGCCGCAACAAAAUGGUGUCGUUGAGCGGCGUAAUCAGACUGUUGUCGAGAUGGCGCGGUGUUUACUGAAGAGCAUGGGCAUGCCCGCUGUGUUCUGGGGCGAAGCAGUGAGGACGGUUGUAUACAUUCUCAACAGAUCACCGACCCGCAGCCUCGAUGGUGUCACGCCAUAUGAAGCAUGGCACGGCAGGAAGCCGAACGUGCAACACCUGCGUACCUUCGGCUGCACAGUACAUGUGAAGAAGCUCGGACUAGGGGUGACCAAGCUCACUGAUCGCUCAACUCCCAUGGUGUUUAUUGGCUAUGAGGAGGGUGCCAAAUGUUAUCGCGUCUACGACCCGGUGGCGAAAAAACUUCAGGUAACUCGUGACAUUUUAUUUGAAGAGAGCAGGCCAUGGACUUGGAGCACCCCGGGCACGAGCGCGGACACCGCAGCGCCGGUGACAUUUACCGUGGUUUACACCAUGGAUGAUGGUGUCCAGGAGAUCGACAGUGGGUCGACCACCCCGCUGGCCACCCCUCGGACCGCGGCGACACCCUCUACACCAGCCUUGGGGACGCCGCGAUCUCCUGCAGUUGCCACACCUGUGGUGGACGCGCCCGAGUCAUCGCAGUACAAGCCGGUGACACCCAUGGACUCGCCGAGGGCUAGCGGGGACACGCCUCCAUCAUAUGACUCCAGGCAUGAUGUGCCAACGGGGCAGCCAGUUCGCUACCGGAGCUUCACGAGCGUGCUGGAGGAGACCGAGAAUCAGGCGGUGCGUGAGCAGUUCGAGCGGUGCCUGCUCGUGCGCUGCCUGUUCAAUGCCGAGGAGCCGCGUGGCGUGGACGAGGCGCUCGCAAGCAAGGCAUGGAAGGGUGCCAUGGACGUCGAGAUGCAGUCCAUCAUCGACAACAAGACAUGGGAGCUUGCUCAGCUCCCAGGUGGACACACGGUGAUCGGUCUCAAGUGGGUAUAUCGCGUCAAGCGCGACCCGGAUGGCAAGAUCAUCAAGUACAAGGCCCGCUUGGUGGCGAAAGGCUAUGUGCAGCGAGAAGGCGUGGACUUCGAGGAAGUUUUCGCGCCGGUGGCACGCAUGGAGACUGUGCGGCUGCUUCUUGCGCUCGCCGCGCACUCCGGCUGGGAGGUGCACCACAUGGAUGUAAAAUCCGCUUUUCUCAAUGGUGACCUCGCCGAGGAAGUGUACGUGGCGCAGCCGCCGGGGUACAUCACCGCCGGCAAGGAGCAGCAGGUCCUGCGGCUUCGGAAGGCACUCUACGGGCUACGGCAAGCUCUGAGGGCCUGGUACGCGAAGCUAGACGAGAGCAUGAGCAUGUUGGGGUUCACGCGCAGUCCACUGGAGCACGCUGUGUACCGCCGUGGCAAUGCUCACUCGUUCCUGCUAGUGGGCGUGUACGUCGACGACCUCAUCAUCACGGGCACUGACCAAGCAUCCAUCAUCGAGUUCAAGGGACAGAUGCAAGAGCUCUUCAAAAUGAGUGAUCUUGGCCUUCUAAGUUACUACUUGGGCAUUGAGGUAACACAAACCAGAGACUCCAUUACUUUGUGUCAGAGGAAUUAUGCAGAAAAAGUGCUCGAGGUGGCUGGAAUGGAUGGAUGUAAUGCAUGCCAAACUCCCAUGGAAUGCCGGCUCAAGCUGAAGAAAGAUGAUGAAGCAAAAUUGGUUGAUGCCUCGCUGUACCGUACCGUGAUUGGGAGCCUGAGAUACUUGGUUCACACCAGGCCAGACAUCACACAUGCGGUUGGGAUAGUGAGCAGGUUUAUGGAGAAGCCCACUGUGACUCACUGGACAGCCGUGAAGCAAAUCCUUCGGUAUGUGCGCGGCACUCUGAACUAUGGCUGCUGCUACCGGCGUGGCUCCGGCAAAGCUGAACUGAUUGGUUACAGUGACAGCGAUCACGCCGGAGAUGUUGGAGAUCGCAAGAGCACCUCGGGUCAGAUCUUCUUCCUUGGUGAGAACCCAUUGUCAUGGACCUCUCAAAAGCAAAAGAUUGUAGCCAUCAGCUCAUGUGAGGUGGAGUAUGUUGCAGCAGCCGCAGCCACUUGCCAAGGUCUUUGGUUGAGCCGUCUUCUUGCAGAGAUGAGAGGAGAAGAAGAAGCAAGCUCAUUCAAGCUUCUGAUUGACAACAAGUCUGCAAUUGCACUGGCCAAGAACCCCGUUCACCACGACCGAAGCAAACAUAUUGAUAUCAAGUUUCAUUUCAUCCGAGAUUGUGUUGAAACAAAGGAGGUGCAGAUUGAUCACGUUGGCACUGAUGAUCAGGUUGCUGAUGCCUUGACAAAAGCGCUGGGUCGGGUGAAGUUCGUCGAGCUGCGUCAGAGGCUGGGAGUGAAGGUAAUUAGCAAAGGACGCUGAGCUUAGGGGGGAGAAAUGUUAGCCAUGCUAAGCUCACGUCAUAGGCUAAUGUAGUUUUCUGCUUAAAAUAAACAUUGCAUGCCUGCAGAUGUGACACUUCCAUGCAGCAUGCACGUAGUAGAUGGGGACGUGCAGUACGCACGAUCUCGCUCCGUUCUUUCUGUUAUAUAGCGCGCUUGUGCAUCUGGAGGUUGCGGGAUGGCGCGGCCAAUCCGGAUCACAGCGAGCUGGCCGGGGUAGUUAGUCGUUUCCAAUUUUGUAACAGAGAUAAGAAGAAAAGGUAAGAGCAGAAAACGCUGCGCAGUUGGUGGCAGCACAAAACUGACUCUCUCUCUCUCGUUCGUCUACCUCCGUCUCUCUCUCUCGCUCGACCUCAUCUCUGAUCGCUCUCGCUAAGUCCGGCAACAACAAAGUAAGACUGUAAUGCUGCCCUUCUGUACUCUGGUACAGUAUAUGUAAUCUGACAAUAAUUCAUGAUUCAUCUAAUAUCUUCACAUAUACAGUUCAGUACCAUCUCUGGUAUACAUUUAUUCUGAAACCCUAGGAGUCAAAUUUUCCAAGGCGAAUGGAUCAAUGUGUGCUAUUCCUAAUCAUCCGCUGAUCCGAAACCUGUCCUUAAAAUUCGUGCGAAAAUCCACAAAAUUCCUUAAGAACCCUAUCCCCCUACAAUUAAGGUAGCGACGUUAACCUUACGGACCUCGCCGUCGUCGCUGGCCACGGCGGCGCCGGAGCAACGCCGCCCGCUGCACGGGCUGUUCCCGUGGCCCUUCGCUUGCUUGUAGGCGUUGGGGACCCACCACCGUAACGGAUCUGGUGACGCGCCUCAGUCGUCGUUGCGGGGACGCCUGCACGCGCUCGGCCGCGUCGCAGAGGUCACCGACGAGCACCGCUCGCCGGAGCUGCGCGCUAGAAAAAUCCGCACGCGACUCCGGCGAAAGACACUCGCCGGCGCCGUUGUCUUCCUCCACUGCGGCAGGCGCUCGCUGUCGCCGCUCUCUCGCUCGCUCGUCGCCGUCACGGGUGUGAAGAAGAGAAGGGAGGGGGGAAAUCGAGGGCUCGCUGGGGGCAGCCGCUCUGCGCUGAUUUUGUUCCAGCUGCGCACGCUGUGGACCGUCCGAUCGCCAUCCGACGGAUCGCGGUAGCCAGCGGACGGGCCACUGGCGCCUCGUAUUCCUAGCCCAGGCCCAGGCGGUUUGUCUGGCCCAUCUCGGGAGGAAUUUUCAGUCCAAUAAUAACAAAAAUAAAUAAAUUAUAGUAAUGGACCGUAAUGCAAUUUCUGGCAACUUUAUACUAAAUCAGCGGUUCCAUUGUCUCAAAAACACUAAAUCAGCGGUUCCCCCUCAAAAACCAAAAAAAAAAACAGUGGUUUCUCAAAAAAGAAAAAACAGCGACAACUGAGAUGGCACUUUAGUGCUAAUGUGUAUAAAUUUUAGGGAUUCUUGCAUGCUUAUUAAUGUUAGAUGAUUCUCUAGCGUUUCUAUUCUUCCUCAUGCAACUAUGUGCCAUGCUUAAUUGUUUUAACACUUUUUGUUAUGCUUAGUUAUUUCUUUGAUGGCAUUUUUGUUAUGAUGAUGAUUAUCAUUAUCAUGCCAUAAUGUCGCCGCUGCAAAAUUAAAUUUACAAAUCCUCUGAAUUGAGUGCGGCUUAUGUUCAUGAUUAUCAUUAUCAUGCCAUAAUGUCGCCGCUGCAAAAUUAAAUUUACAAAUCCUCUAAAUUGAGUGCGGCUUAUGUUCAUGUUGAAUGACGGGCAUCUUGACCACAUGAUUUUAUUAAUCUUGUCAAUUUCUGACCCAAGCUCAUGUGGACCGGGUUGAUAAAGAAAUUUAUAUAUGAGUAUUUAAUAAAGUGGCUUCUAUUUAUUUUUUUGGCCAAAGAUGGUUCAUAAAUGCAUGCCCAUAAUUUUUUUGUUCUUAUCCAUCUUUGGCCAAAGUUUGUAUUUGAUUAUAUCAAUAAAAAGGCUUAUAUUAUUUAGAAACGGAGGGAGUAACAUUUAAUGUCUCUUAAUCUCAUCAUGUUGGAAUGCUCAAUGGCAUGCACUUAAAUGGUAGCAAUUAAAAUAAGGAGAAGCUUGAGAUCGCGUUGGCUUUGCUGAAUAUUAAUUAUGCUCUUCUUAAUAAUCCUCCGAAAACACCUAAAGAAGGCGGUGAAAAUUAUGAUACCCUGAAAAAGGACAAUGUUGUUGAGAAGGUAAAAUGGGAGGAUAGUAGUGCCUAGUGACAAAAAUUAUGAUAUCAUGAAAAGGACUAUGAUGUUGAUAAGGUUAAGUGGGAGGAUUCAAUUCGUAAGUGCCUCAUCAUUAAGGGGUCUAUUGCUUAAAGCAUGGGAGGAGCCAAUUUGGACUCUGAAAGUGCAAAGAGUUGUCUUAGAAAGACUGAGUGUCAAUGCAAAGGAUUUUCUAAGGGAGAAGAUGCGCGAGAGGACGUGCAACAACACUAUCGACAUCUGGUCAAUUCAUUUUUAUCGUCGGAUUUAAUCACGAUAGUCGACAAACAAAUGGUGGGUUUCCCCUCCCACAACAGCCCCACUAAAGCCUCAAUAUAACCCUAAAGUCCACCUAAAACUUAAGGGCAUGGUGGAUUCUAAAGAUAGAACACUGAUCAGUAAAGCAUUUUUUAUGAUGAGAAAGAUCUUGAUAGUGAAGGGGAGCCUUGGCGCAGUGGUAAAGCUGCUGCCUUGUGACCAUGAGAUCAUGGGUUCAAGUCCUGGAAACAGCCUCUUACAGAAAUGUAGGGAAAGGCUGCGUACUAUAGACCCAAAGUGGUCGGACCCUUCCCUGGACCCUGCGCAAGCGGGAGCUACAUGCACCAGGUUGCCCUUUUAAAAAAAAAGAUCUUGAUAGUGGUGAUAUUAUUUCGACCCGUGUCCUUGGGGGCCUUUGUGAAAUAGAGUUAUGUUGUGCCUGUGAGCAGCUUGAACAUUCACACCAAGCCAUUAUCCUUGCUGUCCGUGUUGUACGGGGCUCAUUGCCUUGUGGCAAUGGCAUCAAGAUUGCUUGCAAUGGCAUCAAGUGAUUUUGCUUGGUACGUUUCGUAUAUAUACGUAUUUACGUGACGUGAAUCCACUAAAAUAUCUUGUCUGACCCCAACAAAUACCUCACGUAGAACAAAGGGUCCUAAGGCAAUAGCCCACUAAUCCAUUCACAUGCCUAAACCAAGAGUCCGGCAAACCAACCUGUGGUUGAAUGGUUAGAGGGACAGUGGUAUCCCCAGCCCAUCAGGGUUCAAAUCCUGGUGCUUGCAUUAUUCCUGGAUUUAUUUCAGGAUUUCCGGCGGUGCGCUUUCAGUGGGAGGAGACGUUCCCGUCGACGACGAGGCGCCUACGGUGACUUCGUAAAUUUCAAGAUGACAUGCCGGCUCAGUCUCUCGGAGGUGCUCAUAGGGGUAGGGUGUGCGUGUGUGCGUUCAUAGGGGUGAGUGUAUGCGCGUAUGUAUGAGCGCUUGCGUCUGUACUGAUGUUCAAAAAAAACCAGGAGUCCGUGAGUCACGCAAACAUGAAGCCACACGCGGCACGCCUCAUCUAUCGUCUGUUUUUUUUUCAUUGUUCGUCUUUUCGUUUCUUCGACUCCCAUCUCGCCUCUUCGUGUUGCUUGGUGACUCGGCCGCCGCCUCAUGACCGCGGCAAGCAGGCGGCCGCAGAUCGACAUCGGCAACAAUUAAAUCCUAAAAGUUGAGAUAAUUAGAUUACAUUGCCGCAUCUUCUCUCUCUCUAAUAGCCUAAUACAACGGUGAUUGUUUUGCCCUAGUCUUCUAAAGAAAUCCAUGCACUUUAAUUGAUCUAGUCUAUGGAGCGGUAUUUUUCAAAGGAAACUUGGUCACUAGAUCAAGAUUAUGAUACAGGCACAUCGAGGUCACCCAUUAGACCUAGGCAAAGUGCGUCGAAUGUCACUGCAGUUAAGUCUCCCAAAGCCUAAUAUUCAUACAGAAAUUAACUUAGAUGAGUUGCCUUAUGAUCCGGAUGAUCGGAUGAGAAUUUUGGAGUACACGAGAAAUCCAAAGAAGCAAGAUGAGGGAAGGCGCAAAUAUUUAACGAGGGGACCUUAUAGGCCAUCGUCUAAUUUUGAUUAUCCACAGGGGGAGAUUGGAGAUACUCAAUGGAGAUUUAAUCCAGAUUGUUGAUGAGUAUGGUCCUUGACUUGAGUAUAAUGAUAAAGUGAAUUAGGCCUUCUUCUGCUACCUUUUCAAAAAUUACGACGAGGGACAAGCUGGAACUGGUGCAUUUGCAAUUAACAGCUAGAACGGUUGGAACAAGAAAAGCAGACUAUAUACUCAUGAGGGUAAGGGUAGUGUUAUUAGCUUUCAUAAUGUAAUAGUAGAAAGAUGUGUUGCGUUGAUGAAUCAAGUUCAGUCAAUUCAGGUUGCUCUUGAUAAGCAAACUGAUCAUACAAAAAAGCAAAAUCAAAUUUGACUUAAUGCUUUCAUUGAUUCGCUGAGAUACUUGUUGCAUUGAGGCCUAACUUUCCAAGGCCAUGAUGAGUUAGAAGAGUCAAAAAAUAAGAAUUUUUUUUGAGAGUUGGUACAUACUUUGGCAAACCAAAAUAAAGUUAGACGGAAUGUAGCCCUGGAGUGAACCCAAUGGCCAAAUUUUCUGCCUCCACCCCUGCCAGCUGGGUGUAUUUUGCUGCUUGAUUCACAAGCUGGAGAUAUGCCUGUGGGUGAAGAGGGUUAUCUGGAUCUGUUGAGGCAAGUUGUAUCUGUGAAAUCAAAAGGAAGGCUAGAAAUUCUCGUGCAGGCCGGAGAAAUCAGUGGAAGUGUCGUCUUUCCAAUCAAAUUCAGCAACAUAAGUGAAGAAAGUUGUGAGGUUGGUGAUUGUAAAGUGGAGAUAACCGUUGCUUGGUCCUUGCUCGUUGAAAACUACUCAUAUGAUAUCUUGGUGAUGGGAGCUAUACGGCCUUACGCAUGGGAAUCAAUUCCACAUAGGCCGAUCAUGAAGCUUGUUGACGCUUGUUGAAGAGGUUCACUUAGUGAAGAUGGCAUUCUAGCUAGUUGUACUUCUUAGUGUAGUAGUAAUCCGAAAAGGUAUAUAUGGGCAACACAAGGCAGCGUCAGAUGCUGGUUCAGUUUCUCCCUCAAAAAAGAAAAAGAAAAAAAAAGAUGCUGGUUCAGUUUCUAAAUGUAUUUUUUGGCAAAGCAGAGAUGAUCACCGUGCAAGCUGAUAGUACAAGCAGUAUAAUCCUGGAUGCGAUUCGGGUUUGACAGGAAGAAUAGGGACCAUGAAAAACACCCACACGCAAUUUUUUUUGUAAACUACAUGAUUUUAGUACAUUGGGCAAUAUUAUUGUAAAAUGUCAAGAACAUUUUUCUAACACAUGAUGACAGUUUUUCCAUGUCUGAACAUUUCUUCAAAUGAAUGUUAAACAUUUCUAAAAUACACAUAACAUAUUUUGAAUGGUAUGAGACCUUUUAUAUAUUUGUCGGACUACUGUUACAUAUUAACAUUUUCUGGGUUCCCUAGAUGGUCCCAAGCCGGUUUUGGGAACUUUUCAAAAGGUUCCUAGCAGUUUUUCUGUUUCUUACUGGUUUUCGGUUUUUUAUUUUUGGUUUUGGUUUACAUUUUUUCUGUUUUGUAUUUUUCUUUCACUUUUUAAUAUAUUCAUUUUCCAUUUUUUUACUCAAAGUUUUUCAAAAUCAUUAUAGAAAUUCAAAAUGUCACAAAUUAUUUGGUUUUGCAAAAUGUUUGGGAUUUCAAAUUUGUUCAUGUUUUCCAAAAAAGGGAAACGUUCUUUUUCAUCCGGCUGAUCUACACGGCGCGUAAGUCGGCUCGAGCGAUCGACACGCGUCCCAUGGCCUGGGCCCACGUGCCGCUAUUCCUCUUCGUUAUCCCCACGCAGCAAACCGCACAACCACUCACUUUCUUCUCCUCGCCCCUAUCCUUCGCCUUCCUCCUUCGUUUUCCCUCCCUCUAGAUCAGGGCAAGCGCCAGCAAGUCGACGGCCGCCCCUGUUGGGAGCUUUCUGCUCCUCAUUCGUGUGCACCUUCACGAGGAACACCACCGUUUUGUUUUCUGCAUCCGCUACUCCUGCCCGCUGCUGCAAAGCAAAAGGAUGGCCACUGCUCGUCGCAGUUGCUGCACGUGGCAACGACGGUCGCUGGAGGCAACGUAGAUGCUGCAAGGGGGCAACAAUCGAGGAUGCAGCGCUCGUCGGCGUCUCGCGGAGCUGCGAUGACGGCUGUGGGCGCUGCGAAGGAGCGCUCGCCGGCGGCUCCAAGCGCUGCAAUGGAGCACCUAGCGGCUCCGGGCACUGCGACGGAGCGGUCACCGGCGACCCCUAGCGCUGUAAUGAAGCACUCCGGCGACUCCCUGCGCUGCAAUGGAGCGCUCGGCGGCGGCUGCCGGCGCUGCGACGGAGCUCCCGGCGACCCUCGACGCUGCAAUGGAGCGCUCCCGACGACUCCUGACGCUGCAAUGGAGGUCCUAUUGUUGCAAUCGAGCGGUCGCUGGCGGCGUCCCGGUGAGUCGCCGGCGGCCGUUGCUGCACACAGGAAGAUGUGAUGCGUGUUGCUUUGCAGCAUCACCGGCGAGACAGUCAAUAGAGGACGCGGUCGGAGACAAGCGGUGACCGACUGCCCGAUGUGAAGGGGAGAGCGAUGCUUGAGGGCGAGGCGUGUGAUGCGGACUGUGGGCGAGCGAUACGGGAUCUGAGCGAUGGUUGUGAUGGACGCAUCUAACGGUCGUGGGGGCGGCUUUAGUUUUCGUUUAAUCAACCGGAUGAUUUCAGAUUUUGUUUGCAUUUCGGAAAUUAAUCAAAAUUUCAACAAAUUUUCGCUAUCGUAAAAAAAUGAAACAUUUAUUUCGAAACAUAUUCGUUUUUUCCAAUAAUUGACCUCAUUUUAUAAGAAUUCGGGUUUUAAUAUUUUCUCCCUUUUUUACAGAAUUUUAGAAAUGCUCGUUAUUGAAUUUGCUAACAUUUUCCAAAUUCGUGAUCUUAUUUUGAAUUCACGACACUGAUACUGGGAUGGGCCUGGGCCAUGUGCGUGCUGGGAAGGUCCGUGUCGAUCUACUACUGGGCCUGGCUACGCCCGAGAGAAAAUAUAUGGGCGCACGCCCGUCUGCACCGUAUCUUGAAAACCCUAAGCUGGGGGAUCUUUGCUUUCCCCCGAACAAAAAAACGAGAGCGGCGGCGGCGGCGACGGCGGGGAGAAGAAAGGACACCGCACAGUGGUGAGGAGGUGAGAUGGACACCGCAGGGAGUUCGACGGGAAGGAGUGGCGAGUCCAUGUUUGCCGAGGAGCUCUAUCAGGCUGGAAUCUGCAUGCGGGAGAGUAUCCGGUGGAUCGAGGCCCAGGAGGGCAAGAUGGAGGAGAUUGCACAUAGCGAUUCUGACUAUGAUAAUCUUCCGGAUUUCAGAAUGGAUAUGGUCGUCUUGACGGAGAGGAUCUUCCAAUUGUGGCACAGGAUGGGCGUGGUACAGAGGGCCGGUUGGAUCGGCAAUGAAGGGGGAUCGAUGGAGACCCAGAGCAAGAUUGGCGACGGCGGAGAGAUGGAAGCUGGAGGGAAGUCGUCGAAGGGAAGCAGGAGUUCCGCAUCCCUCGAACUCGAGAAUCUGCUCCACCGUUCCGGAAUCCUUGCCGACGGAGACAGAGGCGGAGGCGCAGACAGUGAGGAGCUGCUUGAUUUCCUCGCAAUGGAGACCCAGGAGUGGAUCGUUAGCCAGUCAGACAGUCAACUCCGCUGGGAGACCGUGCCCGAAUUGACAACCGAAAUCCUGUUGAAUUUUGAAGAAGUGGUCGUUGACAUUGCUAAGGUAUUUGAAAACAAGAAGAUCCGGGAGGAGGCAAUGGCAGUGCUAAGGUUCGGCUUCAGAUUGCCGGCAUUCUCUGAGCAGAUCGAUGAGCUGAGGCACGAGAUGUGCAACUUUCUGAGAUCCUUCUCGUCAGAGAACAAAGAUAUAAGGAACACCAUGAUGAAGUUUAUUUCUGAGCCGUACCUAUCCCGUAUCAGCAAAUUGAAGUUGAUCUCUGACCGUAUCACUAUGCUCCAGCGAAUGGACUCGGACUUCGACUACAAAGUGAAAUCAACGAUGAUUAAGCUGAAAUCAGAAUCUUUCUUGUCAGCCAUGGAGGACGAGCUUCGCAGGGCAGGCAAAGAAGAUUCCGUGGAGAUGGAGGAGAAGAGAUUCACUGCUUAUCAUCUCUACUGGGAACGUAUAUGGGGCAAGGAUGGCCACAGCUUCGAAAAUCAGAGUGAGUAAACUUGCAUGCAUGCUACUUACCUGAUUACUUGCAUUUUGGAAUUUACACCACUCAACCAGAUUGAUUCUUAAAUGGACUAUUUAUUUACUAAAGUUUACUCCACGAUUUGGGGUUCUACUAGUGAGACUUUGAUGUAGUAGAUCUCUAACUUGUUAACUUGUAUGCAGCGAUAUUGAGCCCCAUGCAAUUUACACAUUGCACACCACGCCACAUUCCAAUUGAAGCUGUCGCAGGGAGUACCUUGCAGAUCUACUCCAUCAAAGUCUCACUAGUAGAACCCCAAAAGUUGCCACUGGAGGUGUAUGGAGUGGUCGCAGUCCGUGAUGCUGUGGACCGUCAUCGCAACCCUCUAUUCCUCCGUUCAAGACAGCACUGCCAAAUCCUUGAAGAAAAUGUACGUAUGGUAUUUUCGUGUUCUUGAUCCUUUGUUUGUUGCCUGCAUCCUUGUUGAUUAUGGCAAAUGAUGAUGCUUGCAGGAUUCUUUAUUGCACUUGACUGGCCCGGUUCGUGCAAUUGUCUCGACGGAUACUGUUUACAUCGAAAUCCAAUUAAUAGUGAAGGGCGCAACAAAAUCUGAAGAUACAGCAUUGAUCAGUACAUUUGGCUUUUACAAUGCUGAUAAUUCCUGUACCUAUCUCGCUAAAAACGCCUUGUGCACAGUGGAGCUGUGCUGUGAGCAACUUAAACAGUCGGUCCAGGCUACUAUCCUCAGUGUGGCUGUUACACCCAAACAGGAAUCAUUGCUUUUUCAUGGUGGCAGAGUUGUUUGCUAUUCAGUGCCUGAGGAUGGUAAUGAAGAUAUCGCUGCGCAAGUAUCAUCUAGGCAAGUUUUGCUGCUUGAUUCGAAAGGUGGAAGAAUGCCUAUGGCAAGCAAUGACUACCUUUAUCUGACAAGACAUGUAGUUUCUGUGGAAUUAAAUGGAAAGCUGCUAGUCCUCAUAAUGGCUGGUUCACCAUCACAGACUGAGAUUACUGCUCAAUUCCUCCUUAAACCCGAAAAAUACAACACAAGUAAAUGCGAAUUUCCCCUUGCUGAUGGCUCUAAGGCUGAGAUUACUGUUGCUUGGUCCCUUGUUCCCUUGACGAUGCCACAGUCAGGUGACAGUCGUGAGGACAGUGGAAUGGCGACUGCAGGAAAUUCGAAGGGAAGGAGCGGCGAGUCCAUGUUAAGCGAGGAGCUCUGUCAAGCUGCCAUCUUCAUGCAGAAGAGUAUCUGCUGGAUCCAGGCCCUGGAGAAGAAGAUGGGGAAGUUUGGACACUACGGCUCCGAGGAAUACAAGAACCUUCUAGGGUUGAAAUCAGUUAUGUAUGAGUUGUCGAAUAAGAUCUUCGGUCGGGUCGACUGUGAGGCCCAGAAGAGGAUCAGCACGAUGCAGAAUGCCUGUUGGAUCAGCAAUAAAGGGAAAUUGACCGAUACCCAGACAAAAAUUGGCGACGACAUAGAGAUGGAAACCGGAGGGAAGUCGUCAAAGGGAAGGAGUGGCGAGUUUGAAUUGGUGAGGAUUGGCAACGAAGGCAGAACGGUGCAGACACAGAGCAAGAUUGGUGAUGGUUGCAAAUCAGUCUCCAAGCAGUUCAAUGAGCAGGAGCAGUUCAAGGAGCUGCCAGUCAGUAACUUGAUGUCCGUAGCCGAGUCUGUCAGAAAUAAGAUUGAGAAGAAGCAGGCUGAGACCAUGACGGAGGAGGUUGUGCCGAGGGUAAGCUUCAAAUUAGGUUUGCUCUCCUGGCAGUUUGAUGAGCUGUGGGACAAGAUGAGCCUGCUAGUCUCAACAGAACCAAAAUUUCUAGCGAUAUGCAUGCUUAUUAGAGAGCCCUUCGCAUGCUAUUGCUCCACAUUGAAGUUUAUCUCUGAAGUUUUCAACCGGCUUGGUGAAUGGGUGCCAGAUUUCGGAGAGCAAAUAGAAUCGAUGAGGCAAGAUGAUGAGGACAAGAAUAUGGGUGGAAAAGUUGUGAAUCCGCAUGAGGCGGCAAAGGCGGCUGAGGAGUACUAUUUCAAUGUCUACCGUAGAGGCUGGGAACGUAGGAACAGCAACUUUGGCAGCUUCGAAGACCCAAGUGAGUAAUGUGCUUGUGAUAUGGUUGUUAGUUUCUUUUCUUCUUCCAUUUACUGCAUGUCUCAAGCAAGCUAAUUCGUUCUGUUAGCAUAGUGAUUUACUUUAAUCAUUGAUUAUUAUUCUUCUUGAAUGGAUAGCAAAAGCAAUUUGUGCAAUCUUUUGUUAGUUGACGUCAGAUUUCUAACACACUUGACUUGGUUGCAUGCAGCGUUAUUGAGCCCCAUGUUCUUUACCCGAAGCUUACCAGGCCACACCCAAGUGGGUACUGAAGUCGGGAGGACCAUGCAGGUCUACUAUAUUAAAGUUGCAGAAAGAGAAGGCUAUGCCCUUGAGUGGCCGCUGAAGGUAUAUGGUGUAGUCGCUGCACGAGAUGUAGUGGACUAUCGUCGCAACAUUCUCUUCCUUCGCACGAGGGAUGACUGCCAAAUCCUCAGGAGACAGGUAUGCAUGUGUAUUUUCCUGUUCUUUUUCUUGUUGUUUGCAUCUUUGUUGACAAGUUAAUGGUAAACAAUGAUGCUUGCAGGAUCCUUUUUUGCACUUGACUGGCCCUUCUCGUGCAAUUAUGUCUGGCGGCAUAAUGGAACCCACAGUUACGAUUGAAGUCCACCUAAAACUUAAGGGCAUGGUGGAGUCUAAAGAUAGAACAUUGAUCAGUAAAGCCUUUUUUUAUGAUGAAAAAGAUCUUGAUAGUGGUGAUAUUAUUUCCACCCGUGCCCUUCGUGGCCUUUGUGAAAUAGAGUUAUGCUGUGAGCAGCUUGAACAUUCACACCAAGCCACUAUCCUCGGUGUUCGUGUUGUACGGGGCUCAUUGCCUUGUGGCAAUGGCAUCAAGAUCGUUUGCUCCGCACUACCUGAGGACAAAACCAAAGGCGGUGGUAAGCGCCCAUCUGGGUGUAUUUUGCUGCUUGAUUCACAAGCUGGAGAUAUGCCUGUGGGUGAAGAGGGUUAUCUAGAUCUGUCGAGGCAAGUUGUAUCUGUAAAAUCAAGAGGAAGGCUCGAAAUUCUCAUGAAGGCUGGAGAAAUCAGUGGAAGUGUCGUCUUCCCAACCAAAUUCAGCAACAUAAGUCGAGAAAGUUGUGAGCUUGGUAGUUGUGAAGUGGAGAUAACCGUUGCUUGGUCCUUGCUCAUUGAAAACCAGUAUGAUAUCUCGGUGAUGGGAGCCAUACAGCCUUAUGCAUGGGAAUCAAUUCCACGUAGGCCUACCAUGAAGCUUGUUGGCGCUUGCUGAAGAUGUUCACUUGGUGAAGAUGAAGUCAUCCUCUGCAGCGGCAUGCUAGCUAAUUGUACUACUAGCAGUAAUCUGAAAAGGUAUGGGCAAGACAAGGCAGCGUCAGAUGCUGGUUCAGUUUCUGAAAAUGUUUUUUGGCAAAGCAGAGAUAAUCACCGUGCUACCUGAUAUAAGCAGUAUAUAAUCCGGGAUGCGAUUCGGAUUUGACAGGAAGAAUAGGGACCAUGAAAAACACACUGGAUGAGUAGUCUUUCAUGUCAGUAGGAUUGAAGUCUAGCUAGGCCUGAUUAUGAGCGACCAUUCUGCAUUCCAAACAUGUACGUAGGUUCUUCAAUACAAUUAACCGUAUCUUUGUAUAUACAUAGAAAGAAUAUCGUUUACUGAUACAAUUAUCUCUGCUCCGUUUGCAAAGAACAGGGCCUUUCGCUACAUCUUCUGUGUAGAAGAUGCUAGCGUCCUUUGGCCUGACAAGCAUAUGAAUAUAUGAUCCCAGGGCUGGUACUCCUCCAGUUGCUAAAAAUAAUGCUCCAAUUAUUACUUUCGCAUGACCGUUUUAGCAGCACAUGCACAGAGCACAGCACAGGCAAAAUUCAAUCGCACAGCACAGCCCAGUCUUCCUUGAAAAGUAAUGCUUGUAAUGGGCAUCUUAAUCUGGAUACAACUUGCGCUGCCAGCCUUGUAAAGGUAUAAACAUAUUAAGAAGAAUCAUUUUUUUAUACAUCAAUCUUAUCAAUAGAAAAACUUAAUACAGAAGCAGAAAAUAUGGUGAAGCAGUACAUGGAAUUGUAUCGUCAGGCUCUCUGUCUGCGAAUAUCCAAAUCGCCUCUCAUCUAUCUGCUACUCCUUCCGUCCCAUAAUGUAAGACUUUUUUGACACUACACUAGAGUUAAAAAAUGUCUUAUAUUAUGGGACGGAGGAAGUACUUUUGUUCACUACAGAAGGAGCUAGAUAUCGGACAUGGAGUUUGAAGAUAUCUAGUGAAAGUACUCGUGUCAGCACGAGAUCACAUUUGGAAUAGUAAAAUUAAAAUAAAUUGUAGAACGAUUCAAAAAAAUAUAUAAAACUUUUGGCAACAAACAAUGAUGUAUGUUUCACAUGCACGCAAAAUUUCGCGAUGCAAUGACAUUUGUGGAGGUCUCGGCAAAAAAUGGAAGCUCCAAAAUGCUUUAAAAAAUAGUCUUUUAGAGCACCUUUUUUUCAUACCUCCAAGAAUCAUGAAAUUUUGCAUGCAUGUAAGGCACACAUCAGUGUUUGUUGCCAAAUAAUUCAUUUUUUAUUCGUUUUACUAUUUUUUUAAUUUUACUGUUCCAAAGGGUGAAUGUGGAGCUCAUGCUCAGCCCCAAGGCAGGCACAAUAUGUUUCACGCACCAAUUACAGUCUGUCCCUGCAACGACACAGUAUCCGAACCUAGCCCGGUGCCAAAAGAAUAUAAAAAUAACAAUGAUAAAGAAAUAAGGAGAGCUGACAUGCCCAGCGACACACAACAAGCAACAACACCAUAUGUCGCCCUUGACAACACAGGAACUACAAGAAAUGUUUUCCAAAAACAAUGCCUUUGGAAAGGAAAACCUCCCUUCCGUCAGAUCGAACUGUUGAAUAUCCCUCCUUGAGACAUGAUACUCUGAAGAGCGCCGAACAUCAUCAAUGGAUUCAACAUCUUGUGUGCAUGUGGUCUAGAGCCAGUCUGAUAGAGUCUGCCAAGACAGAGGUGUCAAGAUGUGGCAAACCAUGACCACGCCAUCCUAGAGAGACCUCCUAUAUAGCGACCUAUGCGUCAGAAAAAUGUGGAGCACUCACCCCCCCGCACCUCCUCCGUGCGCGCUCAUAGGCCGGGCCAUGUGCGGGGCGGGAUGCCCCUUUGUUUUUUUAAGUUUAAGUUUUUCCUUUUUAAAAAUAAUUCAGGAUUUCAAGAAGUUGUAAAAUGUGGAAAAAAAUCUCGAAUUCAAAAAAUGUUCAGGAAAUGAUAAAUUCCCACAGAUACAAAAAGUUCGUGAUUUUUUGCAAAAUGUUCAAAAUAUUCCAAAAAAUGUUCAGGGUUUUCAACAAAAUGUUCCAUAAAUUAAAAAAAAUGUUCAAAAAAUCAUAAAAUAAUCAUGAACUCAAAAAAUGAUUGUCAAACAAAACAUGUUCCUGAAUUUCAAAAUGUUUGACGGUAAAAUUUUAUUCACGAGUUCCAAUAAAUGUACACAAUUUCAAAAAAACUUCAUGAAUUCAAAAAAUAAUUGCAAUUUGCUUUUCACGAAUUUGUGAAAAAAAUUGUGAAUUUUAAAAAUGUUGAAUAUUUAAAAAAAAUCUUGAAUUUGAAAAACAAAUCAUGAUUUUAAAAAAUGUUCACGAAUUUGGGAAAAUGUUCGUGGAUUAAAAAAUGUUUAAGAUUUCAGAAAAAUGUCCAUGAAUUUGAAUAAAUGUUCACGAUUUAAAAAAUAUUCUUGAAUAUAAAAGAUGUUCGAAAAUUGAAAAAAAUAAAAAUAGUAAAAAGGAAAAAUAAGAAAAAAUAGAAAAAAAUAAUGAAAAUAAGAAAAAAUAAAGAUAAAAAUCGAAAGGAAAAAACAAAAACCCCGAUUCAGAAAUGGGUUGGCCCAUUCAAAAACUUGCGCUUGACGAGGUACGCACUAGGUCGCUUCGUGGCGACCUAUGCGCGGAAUAGGAUACGCUCGUCUCAUAUGUACCGCUUCGAGUUGCUGCCGCUGCUAUCGCAUCGCCACUGCCACAAUCGAAUAAGCCACCGCCCGCCUCGCGAGCCGCCGCACGCCAGAUCCGCAAUGACCUGAGUCUGCCGCCACAAGCACCCGUGCCAUUGCGGUUAAGCAUUGCUAUCAGGGUAAAAUACCGCAUCGUUGUGUCGGAGGAACACGCCACCUCAUGAAAACUAAGGAUAACAUGCGUGUUGCUACUGAAUAAAUAAAUAAAAUAAAUUUUAUUAAUAAUUCAUUAGAUAUGACAUGUAAUUUUCUUGUUCAAGAAACUGAAAACUUUAAUAUAUAAGCAUCUUGCACACAAAAAGGGCAACUAGAUGUACUGAACAGCUGAGUUUUUUUAUUCCUUUGAACAUACUCUAGAAACUCGGUGUCUUGUGUAUUUUACCAAACAUUUCAGAUAACUAACUCUUGUCAUACUGAUGAAGACCAUUGAUAAUUGUGAGGAAAAAAUCAUAAGAUUAAACAAAUCAAUCAAUACAAAGGAAUAAAAGAUGUUUUUAAUACCAUAUGGAUAUGCCUACGAGAAGCUAAUUACUCCAACUGUGACCAUGCCAAAAAAUUAUAGAGAUGGAUGGAGAUAUACAAACGUAGUGACACACACACACACACACCCAUCUUAGCAAAAUGGCGAGAAUGAAUGCACAAGGUACUAGCAUGUAAACAGAUGUUACCUUUGGGGCACUGGUUCGUCUCCGCUUUGUCCAGUUCCUCAUUUGAGAAAUCAAUUCCAAGAAGCCCCCGCCGAAUGUGUGUGGAACGAAGAGAAGCAUUCGGCGGGUAGGAAUGGAGAAAAAAGAGAAUAGAACAUAUGUGUGGUGGAUGGGGUAGAUAGUAGAAUUAUCACAUGAUCUUGUCUCGAAUGCAUGAGCAUUUUUCAGAUACAUGAAUUUAGUUUUUUGUUAUGCAUGAACAUUAUUCUUUACAGAAAUAAUUUCAUUUUCUAACUAAAUUGUAAAAUUAUUACAAAGUCAAUAUAAAUUUGGAGUUUGUGAUGAAAAAACAUUGUGCUGUUAGUGGACCGUGCCGAAUAAGGCUUUGAGGUCCGGUGCACCUGCGAUUCUACUGGGCCGGGCUGAGCGGAGAGUUGGGUCCUCUGCCUUCCCCCCAACGAAGGAAAAUAUCGUGUGUUGCUCAAAAAAAAAGAAGGAAAAUAGCGUGUUCUCCCCCCAAAAAAGGAAAAUAGCGGCGGCGGCGGCGGCGGCAGCCGGAGAAGAAAGGACGGCGGUGAGGGCAGUGAGAUGACGACCGCUGGGAGUUCGAAGACAGGGAGUGUCGAGUCCGAGUUAAGCAAGGAGCUCUAUCAGGCCGCAAUCUGCAUGUAGGAGAGGAUCCGCGCGUUGCAGUCCGCCGGUUGGAUCGGCAAUAAAGGGGAAUCGAUGGAGCCCCAGAGCAAGAUUCGCGACGAGGACGACGAGAUGGAAACCGGAGGGGAGCUUUCGACGGGAAGGAGCAGCGGCGAGUCCCUGCAUCUUGCCGCCGCAGUCGAGACCGAGUGGAGGACCACCGGCGACUCCGACGAGAACUCGGUGUUCAUCCUGGAGGAGACCGUGCACAGAUUGGUUAGCGACAUCAUGCCGGAAUUCGAAGCAAAGGUCGGCGACGUCGCUUCAGUGCUCGAAGCAGAGGAGACCCGGAAAGAGGCACUGGCGGCGCUGAGCUUCGGCUUCAGACUGCAGUUGUUCUCCAAGCAGAUCGACGAGCUGCGGCACGAGAUGUGCAAGUUGCUGAGAUCGUUCUCGCCGGAAAACAAAGAUAUAAGGAGCACCAUGAUCAAGUUUAUCUCCGAGCCGUACCUAGGCCGUAUCUGCAAAUUGCAGUGGAUCUCUGAACGUGUCAGUAUGCUCCAGCGAAUGGACCCAGACUUCGACUCCAAAGUGAAGUCAACAAUCAUCAAGCUGAAAUCGGAAUCCUUCUUGUUAGCCAUGGAGGAGUUGAAGGAGGAGGAGGAGGAGGAGAGCGGUAGUGAAGGAAUCGCCGGAGAAGGUCGUGGAGACCAAGAAGUUUCCAUGGAGAUGGAGGAGAAGAGAUUCGAUUCCUACCGCCGCUGCUGGGAACGUUUAUGGGGCAAUGACCGCAGCUUCGAAGACCAGAGUGAGUAAAACGUGCAUGCUCCUACUUAUCUACUCUUAGUUACUCCAUGUCUCAAGCAAGCUGCAUACUUCAAGUGGAGUAGUUUUCUUCUUUAUACUUACUGCAUGUCUCAAGCAAGCUGAUUCCUUAAAAGUUGGAAUUUACUCCACUUGUAGUACCAUAUUGAUUCUAGUUUAUUCUUCUUGUAUGCGUAAAAGGAUUCUGGCCGCUAUAUAGUUACUUCAUGUUCAAUCUUUAACUCAUACUUAACUUGGAUGCAGCAUUAUUGAGCCCCAUGCUCUUUACACAUUGCACAGCAAGCCGCAUCCCGAGUGAAGCUGUCGCCGGGAGUACCUUGCAGAUCCACUCCAUCAAAAUCUCAACAGCAAAAGAGCUCACAUUGCCACUGGAGGUGUAUGGAGUGGUCGCAGUCCGAGAUGCUGUGGACCGUCAUCGCAACCCUCUAUUUCUUCGUUCAAGAACACAUUGCCAAAUCCUUGAAGAAAAUGUAUGUAUGGUAUUUUCGUGUUCUUGAUCCUUUGUUUGUUGCCUGCAUCCUUGUUGAUUAUGGCAAAUGAUGAUGCUUGCAGGAUUCAUUUUUGCGCUUGAUUGGCCCGGUUCGUGCAAUUGUGUCGACGGAUACUGUUUACAUCGAAAUCCAACUAAAAGUAAAGGGCGCAACAAAAUCUGAAGAUACAACAUUGAUCAGUACAUUCGGCUUUUACAAUGGUGACAGUUCUGGUACCUAUCUCCUGAAAAACAGUUUGUGCACAGUGGAGUUAUGCUAUGAGCAACUUAAACAGUCGGUCCAGGCCACUAUCAUGGGUGUGUUUGUUACACCCAAACAGGAAUCAUUGCCUUUUCCAUAUGGUGGCCGAGUUAUUUGCUCUUCACUGCCUCAGGAUGGUAAUGAAGAUAUCGCUGGGCUUCCAUCUAGGGAAGUCUUGCUGCUUGAUUCGGAAGGUGGAAGAAUGUCUCUGACUAGUAAUGGCUACCUUAGUCUGGCAAGAUGUGUAGUUUCUGUGGAGUUAAAAGGAAAGCUGCAAGUCCUCAUAAUGGCUGAAUCACCAUCACAAAAUGCUGAGAUUGCUGCGCAAUUCCUCUUCACACCCGAAAAAUGCAACAUAAGUAAAGGUGAAUGUUACCUCCCUGAUGGCUCUAAGGUUGAGAUUACUGUUGCUUGGUCCCUCAUUCCCUCGACGAUGCUACAGUCAGGUGACAGUCGUGAGGACAGUGGGAUGGUGACCGGACGAUAUUCAAAGGAAAGGACUGGCGGGUCCAUGUUAAGUGAGGAGGUAUGUAAGGCUGGAAUCUUAAUGCAGGAGAGUAUCCGCUGGGUCCAGGCCCGGGAGGAGAAGCCUUUGAAGGGAAGGAGUGGCGAUGUUGAAUUGUUGAGGAUUGGCAACGAAGGCAGAAUGUUGAAGACACUGAGCAAGAUUGGUGACGGGGGCAAAUUGGUCUCCAAGCAGUUCAUGGAGCCGCUGGUCAAUUUCUCAAUGUCUGUAGCCAGAUCUGUCAGAAACAUGAUUGAGGAGGAGGUAGAGACCGAGGCGGCAGGGGUGGUGCCGAUGGUCGGCUUCAAAUUACAUUUGCUCUCCAGGCAGUUUGAUGAGUUGUGGGACAACAUGGGCCAGCUAGUCUCAACAGAAGCAAAAUUUCUAGCGAUAUGCAUGCUUAUUCAUGAGCCCUUCGCAUGCUAUUGCUCCACACUGAAGUUUAUCUCUGCAGUUUUCAACCGGCUUUGUCAAUGGGUGCCAGAUUUGACAUCGGCAAUGGGAUCGAUAAGGGAACACAAGGAGAUAGAGGACGGGGAUAAGGAUAGGAAGGUUGUGAAUGAGUAUGAGGAGGAGAAGAAGGCUGAGGAGUUCUAUUUCAAUGCCCACCGUGAAAACUGGGAAUUUAGUCGCAGCAACUUUGGCAGCUUUGAAGACCCAAGUGAGUAAAUGUGCUAGUGAUAUGGUCGUAGUUAGUAUGCUUUUCUUCUUCCACUUACUGCAUGUCUCAAGCAAGCGAAUUCGUUCUGUAAGCAUAGGGAUUUACUCUACUCAGAUUGACUCUUCUUUAUUCUUCUUGAAUGUAUAGUAAAAGCAAUCUGUGCACUCUUUAGUUAGUUCACGUUAGAUUUCUAACACAUACUUCACUUGGUUGCAUGCAGCGGUAUUGAGCCCCUUGCUCUUUACCCACUACAUACCAGGCCACACCCAACUGGGUGCUCAAGUCGGGAGGACUAUGCAGGUCUACUCUAUUAAAGUCACAGAAAUAGAAGGCUAUGCCCUUGAGUGGCCACUGAAGGUAUACGGUGUAGUCGCUGCACGAGAUGUUGUCGACUAUCGUCGCAACAUUCUCUUCCUUCGCGCUAGGGAUGACUGCCAAAUCCUCACGAGAAAGGUAUGCACCUGUUCCUUUUCUUAUUCCUUGCAUAUUUGUUAACAAGUUAAUGGAGAAUACUGAUGUUUGCAGGAUUCUUUUUUGCACUUGACUGGCCCUUCUCGUGCAAUUAUGUCUGGUGGCAUAUUGGAGAACAAUGUUACUAUUGAAGUCCACCUAACACUAAAGGACACAGUGGAGUCUAAUGAUAGAACAUUGAUCAGUAAAGCCUUCGUUUAUGACGAAGAUGAUCUUGGUAGUGGUGAUGUUAUUUCUACGCGUCUUCUCCAGGGCCUUUGUUCAAUAGAGUUAUGCUGUGAGCAUCUUGAACAGUCAGUCCAAGCCACUAUCGUCGGUGCUCGUGUUGUAAAGGGCCCAUUGCGUUGUGGCAAUGGCAUCAAGGUCGCUUGCCCCGUUCUACCUGAAGGUAAAACUGAAGGCAGUGUCAAGUGCCCAUCUGGGCGUGUUUUGCUGCUUAGUUCACAAGCUGGGACAGUGCCUGUGGGUGGUUAUCUAGAUCUGUCAAGGCAAGCUGUAUCCGUAAAAUCAAGAGGAAGACUUGAAAUUCUCAUACAGGCCGGAGAAAUCAGUGGAAGUGUCGUCUUCAAAGCUGAAGACAGCAGCAUAAGUCGAGAAAGAUGUCGUCUUGGUGAUUGUGAAGUGGAGGUAACUGUUGCUUGGUCCCUCCUUGUUGAAAACCAGCAUGAUAUCUCGGUGAUGGGGUAUAUAGCGCCUUACGCAGAAGAAUUAAUUCCACCUUUACCCGUCAUGAAGCUUUAUAGAGGCCCUCGGUGAUGAUGAAGCCAUGCAUCUGAUAUCGUGUUUACUGUUCCAUCAUGAACUUGUCUGCUAAUUCAUGUACUAUGAUAUACUACCUAGAUACAUCCGUUUGAGCGACAAGUAUUUCCAGAUGGAGGGAGUACAACACUAGUAUAUGCUCGUUUUUCUUAACUAUGGUCUUGUGUGUACUAUGAUACAAGACAAAGCCUAUGUAUAUAUUGCUGUUAUGCACAUAUAUGGUGUUGUUGUUGAGCUAGGUAAGCCUACUUUGGAAUUUCUAGCUUAUUGGUGGAGCAUCUUAUUGGUGGAUUGUAUGCCAAUUUACACUUGUUUGGAAACCUGUUGAUUCAUCAUGGAUCUGGAGAUGUAGCCUUGUGCUUUCCUCUAGGUUGUAUUGCUAGAACCUAGCCGACAAUAAAGGAUAACCGUUUUUUUACGAAUAAUAAAGGAUAAAAGUUGAAAUGCG